rnacentral:rRNA from 1 species
GACAGAGGGUGCAAACGUUGUUCGGAAUUACUGGGCGUAAAGCGCGUGUAGGCGGCUAAGCAAGUCGGGCGUGAAAUCCCACCGCUCAACGGUGGAAGUGCACCCGAAACUGCAUAGCUAGAGUCCUGGAGAGGAAGGUGGAAUGCUUGGUGUAGAGGUGAAAUUCGUAGAUAUCAAGCGGAACACCGGUGGCGAAGGCGGCCUUCUGGACAGUGACUGACGCUGAGACGGCGGAAAGCGUGGGGAGCAAACAGGG